CAUACAUAGUAAAUGGUACUUACAUAUUUCAAGCGUUGUGCAUACUACAGUUAUCUAAAUAUCUUCCUAAAUAUUCCUACUAGGAUACCUAUACCUACCGAUGGUAUACUUGAGGCUCAUCUUAUGUAUUUUUGUGUACUGCAUGUUUGCAUGACCUAUUUCUGUUUACUAAAAUACACUCACGGGCAAUGGAAAUGUUCCACUCACAAAAUGUCGACACCAAACGACCCCAAUUUUUUCAAACAUUUAAUUUCAAAUUUGAACAAAAUAUUAUCGUUUUUAGUUGGUAAUAUCCUGAUGCUCUGUUAAAUGUACUUCAAUGUUGUAGAAGGCGUCAUUAAGCCAGCAUUUUCCGUUAAAGAGUAAUUAGGUGUUUUUGUCAGUGGAACCUUUUCAUUGCCCGUGAGUGUACAUAGAAUAAAAAGGUGAUGGUUAGUCUAGAUCUAGACUCUUGGUGGUGGUUCAUUUGGAAAUGAAAAUACAAUUAAUUCACAACACUAACCACAUUUUCUUUCUGAGUAUCUAUCACCAGUAGUAGCAGGUUAACCCGUAAUAACACCACCGCACUGUCACUAACAAAAUGGAGACUUGGGGCCUGCCAGACCAUCAUCGACAUACGCGUGCGGGCUGUCCGACGUGCCUCAGAUCGAGAGCCUCCAAGAAAAGUCGCAGUGUGCCCUCGAGGAGUAUUGCCGGAACCAGUACCCCAACCAGCCCACGCGCUUCGGCAAGCUCCUGUUGCGUCUCCCCUCCCUCCGCACCGUCAGCUCACAAGUCAUCGAGCAGCUGUUCUUCGUACGCCUCGUCGGGAAGACCCCGAUAGAGACACUCAUCAGGGAUAUGCUACUGUCAGGGAGCUCGUUCUCCUGGCCGUACAUGGCGACCAUGUGACACACGAUGUGGCGCCACCUAGCGUCGGCCUGAUCCACGCCCUACGGCCUCCCGCCCUACGCGCCGGGCGGGCGGCUCGGGCUGGGGCGGGAACCGGCGGAGGAUGCGGUCACGUCGUCCAGCGAGGUGCACGAGUACCGCCAGGACCUGUUCGACCCUGUCUCCGCGUUCUACCCGCCCCGGCCCGCCGAGCCGGACGAGCACAAGAAGACUCUGACGGUGGACAGUCUGCUCAACCUGAGUGAGGCGUGCGCGACGGACAAACAGUGAUUCUUUAAGUAGUUGGGGUCAGUAGAGUUCGUAGUUGAUUUUCGUUUAGUUCCUCUGUAAAAAUGUGUAGGUUUAAAAGAAUAUUUAAAAUAUUGUAAAUAAAAGUUUUUAUUAUUAUUAUUAUUGUAAAUGUGUAGGUAAGAUUAAAGAGGCAUACAGUGUUUUAUACGUUUUGUAAUGUUUUGUUUCUCUGACUGUCUGUUUUCUACAAAGUUUGAGUUUUGAUUCGCUAUAACUGUAUACUACAUAGGUACUUUAAUAAUGUAUAUUGUAUAAUAGCAAUAUUUCUUCGGAAUUUGAUAUCUCUCUAUCAAAACUACCUCUUAAUUGGUGUAAAAAGCAAUUACAUAAAUUGAAACCUAAGAUAAAACGUAAUUAUAAACUCCAUUAUGUGCAAUGUUGGUGUGAAGUAAAAUUGUAUAGAAAUAAAUAUAUUACAAUAUACUGAAUCUGUUUUUUGGUGCUUAUUUAUCGUGUUUUUUAUAUAUUUUCCGAAUUACCUAUGAUUCCAAUUCAGCAUUUAUGUAAUUUUAUUAUAACUGAUACAACGCAGUGGACUAAGUUUAUAAAAGAGUGUUUUGAUCUUCAUUUCUUUUUGCUUUUAUUUUAAAAUAGAUUUGUAAAGUUUCCUGCCACUCCUUUUAUACGGUAAACUAAUUAAUUAAUGAAGCAAUGUAUGUAUCCGCAAUAACUUGUACAGUUGUAUGUUGUAAGGAAUCAAAUCUGUGUGUAUGAGAAUGUAUGAUGUUGAUAAAAAGUAUAUAAUAAUAGAGAAAUAAAACAAUGUCUCUCUGGAUUUUAA